UUCUCCUACGGGACGCAGCAGUGGGGAAUAUUGCACAAUGGGGGAAACCCUGAUGCAGCGACGCCGCGUGAAGGAAGAAGUAUUUCGGUAUGUAAACUUCUAUCAGCAGGGAAGAAAAUGACGGUACCUGACUAAGAAGCCCCGGCUAACUACGUGCCAGCAGCCGCGGUAAUACGUAGGGGGCAAGCGUUAUCCGGAUUUACUGGGUGUAAAGGGAGCGUAGACGGCAGUGCAAGUCCGGAGUGAAAGCCCGGGGCUCAACCCUGGGACUGCUCUGGAAACUGUAAAGCUGGAGUGCGGGAGGG
rnacentral:rRNA from 1 species